UUUUUUUUUUUUUCUUUUGUCUUUUUUACCAUUUAUUGGGCCGCUCUCGUGGCAUAUGGAGGUUCCCAGGCUAGGGGUCUAAUCGGAGCUGUAGCCUCCAGCCUACACCAGAGCCACAGCAACGCCAGAUCCAAGCCGCGUCUGUGACCUACACCACAGCUCAUGGCAACACCGGACGCUUAACCCACUGAGCAAGGGCAGGGAGCGAACCCGCAACCUCAUGGUUCCUAGUCGGAUUCGUUAACCACUGCGCUACGACGGGAACUCCAUAGUUUGGAAUUCUAAGCUCCAUCAUCAGUUUACCAGUGUGGGCUGGGUACAUGAGAAGCUCUGCCUUUGGGACCAGAUAUAGCAUGACAAGAAACAAAAGAUAAGUGCAGUAAGUUUCUUCUUUAACGCAACAGGAAACACCAAAGGUAAUAGGAUCUGACAUUGAGAGAUUCAUUAACAGAGGGAUUCAUCAAUAGAGGUAUAAACCAAGGAGGUGACAGUCUAGCUCUACACAGCCCUUGCUCCACCUGCAACAUGGAUUCCACACUUCAAGAGGGGCUUGGCCAGAUCCAAGGAUGCUGAGGAUUCAACCAUUUAUGGUGAGAGAAGAGAAAAUAUUAUCAGAGAGGAUCAAAUAGCAGAGAUUGGUUGGAAAGAGUUUAACCAGCGGAAGACUGAGGGGACGAGAUCUGGAUUUUAGCUGCCUUUGUUUGGGGGAAUUAUCCAGUUAGCUGUUUUGCUUUAAGCUCUGAUGUACACAAGCCAGGCUCUGUGCUUUGUGCCUGCACCUUUGCAUUUAAUCCUCCUAACAAGCUGCAUUAGUCAGGGUCCUCCAGAGAAACAGAAUCAAUAAGAUACGUACAUACACAUUGGUUUAUUAGGAGGAACUGGCUCACGUGACUAUGGAGGCCGAGAAGCCCCGGAUCUGCUGCCCACAAGCUGGAACCAGUGGUGUGAUUCAAUCUGAGUCUGAAGGUUUGAGAAACAGGGGAGUCAACAGUGUCAACUCGAUCCAAGGUCAGGAGAAACUGAGGUACCAUGUCCCAGGUGAGACCGUGAAGCAGGCAAAAAGGGGAACCGUCUCCUUCCUUGGCCUCCAUUCCACUCAGGCCCUCAGUGGGUUGAAUGCUGCCCCCUGACACGGGGGAGAGCCAGGUAUUUUACAAAGCCCACCAGGUCAAGUGCACAUCUAUCUCACCCAGAGACACCCCCAGAAAUCACGUCUUCAUCCGGGCACUCCACGGCCAGUCAAGGUGACGCGUAAAAUGAACCAUCACUCAAGUCCAGGACCUUAGAACUUUGUGAUCCUCCUUUUAAGGGUGGGGGAGCUGGGGUGUUUAUCCAUCAUGUGUCUGCCAUCGAUUGAGGGCUGCUUCUGGGCACAUUAAGGCUCUGGUACUUUGGGGUCCCCUUACACCCCGAACACAUCCCCGAGGCCAGAAAAGUGCCCACAGGCAGUGUCAGGUGUUUGCAGAAAAGUAGCCUUUGCCUACUAAGGUGAAUCUCCUUUUUUUUGUCUUUUCUAGGGCCACACCUGCAGCAUGUGGAGGCUCCCAAGCUAGGGAAACCUCCAAAUGCCACGGGUGCAGCCCUAAAAAGCAAAAAAGAAAAAACAAGAACAAAGCUAUCUCGACAUUAUCUUCAGGGUUGAAGACUGAGGGUGAAACAGACAAUGACAGCCACCAGGACCAGGGUGACCCUUGGCGGCAGAGGCUAUGGUUUGAGGCAUGAGGACAGAGUAUCUCCUUCAGGGCUGGCUUGGGGAGCACAGAAGGCCAACUUUCUGGGGGGAUCCAAGGUGAGGGCAGAGACUUGGGGUGAACAGACAGAGGGGAUGACCUCGUGAUCAGGGGUCAUGGACAAUGCUGGUAAAAGUAGCUCCUGGUUACAGAGCUGGCCAUUACCAGGCCCUACAGGGAUGCAGCUGCCUGCUGGCAUCUUCCCAGGGACUCUGGGAGAAGGAUGGUCAUUUCAUCCUGCAGCUGAGAACCCUGAAGCUCGGGAGAUGGCCCAAACCCACAACGCCAGCCAGCGUCAGGGCUGGAGUUUGAAUCCUUCCCCUCCUGCUAGCAAGAGUUAUUCACGGAACCCCUCCUGAGUGCUAUUCUAAACAACAGGGAUACAGCAGCAAACAAAAGAGUCCAGAGCUGGAGUUCCCUAGUGGCUCAGUGGCUUAAGGAUCCAGUGUUGUCACUGAUGUGGCUCUGGAGCAGCUGUGGUGGGGAUUUGAUUCCUGGCCCAGGAACUUCUACAUGCUGCAGGUAUAGCCCAGAUAAACAAAUUUAUUAUUAUUAUUAUUAUUUUUUGUCUUUUUAGGGCUGCACCUGAGGCAUAUGGAGGUUCCCAGGCUAGGGGUCGAAUCAGAGCUGUAGCCACGGGCCUAUACCACAGCCACAGCCACAGCAAUGCCAAGUCCGAGACUUGUCUGCAAACUAUGCCACAGCUCAUGGCAACACCCAAUCCUUAACCCACUGAGCAAGGCCAGGGAUUGAACCUGCAUCCUCACCAAUCCUAAUCAUUUCCACUGAGCCACGAUGGGAACUCCCAAACAAAUAAAAAAAAUAAAUAGAAAUAAAAGAGUCCUUGGAGUUCCUGUUGUGGCUCAGUGGGUUAAGAACCUGACUAGAAAUGGCCCUAAAAAGACAAAAAUAAAUAAGUAAAUAAAUAAAGAGCCCUGGGUCUAGUGGGGGAGACAGACCAGAGGAAGCAGACAAAUACGCAGUAUAUCAGAUGGUGACUGGUACUAAAAAUAAUAAUAACAGGUGGGGGUCACAGUGACAGGGAGCGCCAGGCGGCAGCAGGGGCCCAGGCUGCAGAACCACUGCUGUGUUAUGAGCAGUGCUCAGAGAAGGCCUCUCUGACCUCAGACCGCAGGCAGGUGUCUGGGGAGAGGGCAUCACGGAUGGGACACAGCAGGGAGAGGCCUGGAGGCACCUCGAGGAAGAGUGAGCCAGCGUGCUGCCUAGUUUGGGGCCUGAGCAGAGGACAGUAAGGGGAGGCGAGGAAGAGCAUUUAGGGCCUUCAAGGGAAAUCAGUCCUGGAGUUCCCGUCGUGGCUCAGCGGAAACAAACUCGACUAGUAUCCAUGAGGAUUCAGGUUCGAUCCCUGGCCUCGCCUAGUGGAUUAAGGAUCUGGCGUUGCCAUGAGCUGUGGUGUAGGUUACAGAUGUGGCUCGGAUCUGGCAUUGCUGUGGCUGUGGUGUAGGCCGGCGGCUGCAGCUUCUGUUUGACCUCUAGCCCAGGAACUUCCAUAUGCUGUCUCUGUGGCCCUAAAAGAAAAAAGGAAAAGGGAAAUCAGUCCUGCAGAGGCUUGACCUAACCCUGAAUAGGAGCAAGGCAAGGGCCUGAUUUCCAGAGGAUUCCUUCAUAUCUUUUGCGCCACACGGUAGGCUGCUCUCUGGCCAGGGCUGGGAGCUCUGGUUUAAGGCAGGAAACUUCUUUGCUGCCCCAUCCCAGCUGGGGCACCCUCCCCCCACCUUCCCAGCUGGCUGGGCUCCCAGCUCUCUCCUCUCUCCCAGCCUGUGGGCCACCCUCCCUCCCCCUCCUCCUCGGAGUCACUCACUUCCCCAAGACAAAUGGCAGCUUCUUCCUGCCCAUCCAUCACUGCUCCUGGGCCCAUCCAUUAGCGGCUGCUCCCCCAUCCUGCCCCCAGCCCCACCGUCCUUGCUCGGGGACGGAGUCCAUUGAUCAGAGGCCCAUCUGCCGCUUGUCACAUCCUGGCAGCCCUGACAGCCAGAGACAGAGCUGUUGCUGCCCAGGCCAGCCUAAGGCCAAGGGAGAGAUGAAGCUGCCC
rnacentral:lncRNA from 1 species